rnacentral:rRNA from 1 species
GACGAACGCUGGCGGCGUGCCUAACACAUGCAAGUCGAGCGAUGAAAUCCCUUCGGGGAUGGAUUAGCGGCGGACGGGUGAGUAACACGUGGGUAGCCUGCCUCAAAGAGGGGGAUAGCCUCCCGAAAGGGAGAUUAAUACCGCAUAAUAUUAGUUUUUCGCAUGGAGAACUAAUUAAAGGAGUAAUCCGCUUUGAGAUGGACCCGCGGCGCAUUAGCUAGUUGGUGAGGUAAAGGCUCACCAAGGCGACGAUGCGUAGCCGACCUGAGAGGGUGAUCGGCGAACUUGGAACUGAGAUACGGUCCAGACACCUACGGGAGGAAGCAGUGGGUAAUAUUGCACAAUGGGCGAAAGCCUGAUGCAGCAACGCCGCGUGAGUGAUGAAGGCCUUCGGGUUGUAAAGCUCUGUCGUUGGGGACGAUAAUGACGGUACCCAAGGAGGAAGCCACGGCGAACUACGUGCCAGCAGCCGCCGCGGUAA